rnacentral:lncRNA from 1 species
GUCCACACAUCAUUGACCUUCAUGGACUCCAUUUCGGAUUUCAUGGCCUCUAGCCAUUUCUCAGAGUCAGGUCUCUACAUUGCAUCCAUGUAGGUGAUCGAAUCCUCAUCAUUUUCAUCAAGUUCGACAAGAUCGCCAUCCCGGACCAAGAAACCAUAGUAUCUGUCCGGUUGAUGUAGUACUCUACCAGACCGCCUUAAGGGUGCAUAAUCAAUGGGCUCCGGAUC